rnacentral:rRNA from 1 species
AUGAUGGAAGUCAGGGACGUCACACAGAAGUUCUUUCAGCUCCCUCACGAGGAAAAAUUGAAGAUCAAAAUGACACCUCAGAGUGAUUAUAGAGGGUAUCAGAGAGUGGGAGAAAAUGUUACCAAGGGUAAACCUAAUAUGCAUGAAGCAAUUCAUAAUUUGCAAUGCUACAUGCCUAUCGAACCGGGCAGAUAUGGUAAUCAUGCUAAACCAAUGGAAGAAUCUAAUUUGUGGCCAGAUUAUCCAUCAAAUUUUGACACGCUGCUGGAAAACUAUAUAAGCCUUCUACAAAAUCUUUCAAGGAAGAUCAUGCGAGGCAUAGCCUUGGCACUGGGCGCGCAGUUGGAUGCUUUCGAAGGCGGAACAACAGGAGAUGCUUUCUGGGUUCUCAGAUUGAUUGGCUAUCCAUUCUCAGCUGGCAUCCCACCACGCAUUGAUAUUGGAUGUGGAGCUCACACAGAUUAUGGCCUUUUUGACACUGGUGAAUCAGGACGGUGA